UUUUAGAUUGACUACUUACUCCAUGUCUUUGGUUCCUCCUGUCACUUAUUUUGUGUUGUUCUCGUUCGAGUCAGGCUCUGCUACCUGCUUUAUCAUCGCCUCCUUCUGUCACCAAGCCAAGUGUGACUGGUGGUGUGGCAUCUGAAGUUAAACCAAAGGCUCAACGUGGUAUUUUUAAAGAGAAAGUGUCUGCCUCAACUACCCCUGUGAUAUCUGAUCCAAUUGACAGUACCCUUGUUGAUGCAAAUGACGAUACCUUGGCUAUUGGGUCUGUCACUGAGCAGGGGAGGUCACCGUAGCUUGGCGCUUCCACCAAGAAAGAUGAUUUGCUAUCGCCCGAUCAGUCUUAUGAUGCAAAGAAGUCUCACCCAUCUGUUUCUGUUUAUGCUCGAAGCAAUUCGGGCAAGCGGCCCAGGAAGUGAAAAUGGUGCCUGGGAGGCAAGGGAACUUUUGUAUAUUCACACCUUUUGGUUAAUGUCGUUCUGAGUUGACGGUUUCUUACCAGUAUGCUUGUACGAGUGAUUCCCCUGCUUGAGCUUUGACUCGCGGGCACUUACC